rnacentral:piRNA from 1 species
UGAGGACAUGCACCUUCCUGGUCCU